UACGUAGGGGGCAAGCGUUGUCCGGAAUCAUUGGGCGUAAAGCGCGCGUAGGCGGCCCGGUAAGUCCGCUCUGAAAGUCCGGGGCUCAACCCCGGGAGGCGGGUGGAUACUGCUGAGCUCGAGUCCGGAAGAGGAGUGUGGAAUUCCUGGUGUAGCGGUGAAAUGCGCAGAUAUCAGGAGGAACACCAAUGGCGAAGGCAGCACUCUGGGACGGUACUGACGCUGAGACGCGAAAGCGUGGGGAGCAAACAGG
rnacentral:rRNA from 1 species